CUCUGUGGGAUUGCCUGAGGUGGUCCUUGGGUCUGCACUGAGCUCUGGACUUCUCCCUGUCCCCAAUCCUGCUGCCUGUCCCUCCCUUCCACAGCUGUCUUCCCAAGGACACUUGCUAGUAACUGUGCUGCAUGCUAAUCUCUGUCUCAAGAGUCGGCUUCCCAGAGAACAAAGCUGCAGUGUGUGUGUAUUCAUACAAGAGAAUAUGGCGCAGCAAUAAAAAGAACAAAUGACGACACAGGCAACAUGGAUGAAUAUCAAGUGAGGAAAGCCAGCGCCAGUUCCCUCCAACCAAGAAUGCUCCAAGUCGGCCUGGUGCCCCAAGAUGUGGGGCAAACUACUCCUGCUGAUCACAGAUGCAGUUACAGACCUUUGUGACCGCCUUGCUGGCCACAGGACUUCCACAUGACCAUCCUAGUGGCCUCACACAGGGAAGGGAUUCAGGAUAAGGCUGUUGGAGCAGUCCAGAAGAGAGAGAAAGACCGUGGAGAUGGAGCAGCUAAGACAUACUAGAGAUUUUUCUGAGAUGGACCUGCACACCUCUGACACAGCAGAUUCACAAUCUGUGCUUUCACCAGUGGGCAGCAGUUAAAUGAAUCCCAUCCCAUAGAAUGCUGGGCUACCGAGGAAAGAACAAGGAAGUGCUGUCUACACUCAUGAGGAACGGUCUCCCGGGUAGGGUGUGACUUGGCCGGAGCGAGGGUGCCUGGAGUCACCUAGCUCUGAGCAGCUCAAACCCUGAGGCCGGAUCUGACGAUGACGCAGAAAGCCAGUGCCUAGCCCGGAGCCUGGCGCACAACAGGUGCUUAUGAAGGAAGGAAUCCCGAUAACACAGCCAGGAAAAUACCUUGCUUGAACUGCAAGAAAACAGCCUGUUAGCCUCUGGUGAAAGUUGACUUAGGGAAUAUAAGCGUCAUAUUAUAUGGCGAACGGGUACAAGGAUAUUUGGAACCUUCCUUCUAAAACACCGAUCCGAAGGGAAGAGGGAGUAUCUGUUGCAAACCUUCCUGUUUCUGUCCUUGUUCCACGUGCUUCACGUGUGUAUCUCAUCUCACGGAGGACCUCCCUCACGGGGAUGUGAGGAGCGUUAUUAUCCCCACUUUACAGAUAAGGAAACUGAGGUUCAGAGAGUUUACAUGACAAGGUCCUGCAGCCAGUGUGUGGGUUCAAACCUAGUCUGUCUGGUUUUAAAGCCUAUUGUCUUCUCUGCACCACAACUGUCUCCUCAGGUCUUCUGUUUCCUUCUGAUGUUUUCCAAUAACCCUCAAUUAAUUUCAUGAUAAAAGGAAACACACUUUGAAAGUGUGUUGCGAAGAAAAAUAGAGAUCUUUCUAAAAUGCAGCAUUCUUACUCUGCUUUAGGUAUCCCUAGUACCCAAUUCCAGCAGGUGUGCAAUAAAUGAUUGACAACUGAAUGGACACAUGAGGGCACCAUCUGCCUGCCUGCCAGGCACCCCUUUCUUCCCAUGGGGCCUCCCCGUGCCCAAUUUUGCCUGCACUUCAGGCUUCCUCCCCCUCUGUCUAGCCUGCUCCUCGGAGAACUCAUUGGCUUUGUGGCAGGUCUGGAUUCCAGCGCUUCCCCCAUGUUUGGCCUGUCUUAGGAAUAAACAAGCUGCUCAGUUCCCCUUCUGGUACUCAUGGGGCAAGUCGUUUUUCCCUCUCUGGAUCUCCAUUCUAAGAUGUUAAGUGGUUAUCAAAUACAUGCUCCAGUUUCACUUUUAAUACAUUAGAGAGUAAUAAUGAUAACAAUGCUAGAUGUAAGUUUUAGGGCUUCCUAUGUGCCAGGUGCUCUGUUGAGUACUUCACGUGCAACGUCUUGAAUACUCACAAGGACCCUAUUGUAGAGGAUUGAAUAGUGUCCCCCGAAAGCAGUGUCCAAAUUCCAACCCUCGAUAACUGUGACUGUCCCCUUACUUGGAAAUAAGGUCUUUGCAGAUGUGAUUAAGUUACACAUUAGGGGAGGAGAUUAUCCUGGAUCUAGAGUGGGCUCUCAGUCCAUUGACUGGAGUCCUUACGAGAGAAAGGACAGGGAGAUUUAACAAAGAGACAAAGAGAAG
ensembl:lncRNA